CCGGCGAUGUCCGAAUGGGGAAACCCAGUGCAAUUCGUUGCACUAUCGUUAACUGAAUACAUAGGUUAACGAGGCGAACCGGGGGAACUGAAACAUCUAAGUACCCCGAGGAAAAGAAAUCAACCGAGAUUCCCCCAGUAGCGGCGAGCGAACGGGGAGCAGCCCAGAGUCUGAAUCAGCUUGUGUGUUAGUGGAACGGUCUGGAAAGUCCGACGGUACAGGGUGAUAGUCCCGUACACCAAAAUGCACAGGCUGUGAACUCGAAGAGUAGGGCGGGACACGUGGUAUCCUGUCUGAAUAUGGGGGGACCAUCCUCCAAGGCUAAAUACUCCUGACUGACCGAUAGUGAACCAGUACCGUGAGGGAAAGGCGAAAAGAACCCCGGCGAGGGGAGUGAAAAAGAACCUGAAACCGUGUACGUACAAGCAGUGGGAGCACCUUCGGGUGUGACUGCGUACCUUUUGUAUAAUGGGUCAGCGACUUAUAUUCUGUAGCAAGGUUAACCGUAUAGGGGAGCCGCAGGGAAACCGAGUCUUAACUGGGCGUUAAGUUGCAGGGUAUAGACCCGAAACCCGGUGAUCUAGCCAUGGGCAGGUUGAAGGUUGGGUAACACUAACUGGAGGACCGAACCGACUAAUGUUGAAAAAUUAGCGGAUGACUUGUGGCUGGGGGUGAAAGGCCAAUCAAACCGGGAGAUAGCUGGUUCUCCCCGAAAGCUAUUUAGGUAGCGCCUCGUGAACUCAUCUUCGGGGGUAGAGCACUGUUUCGGCUAGGGGGUCAUCCCGACUUACCAACCCGAUGCAAACUACGAAUACCGAAGAAUGUUAUCACGGGAGACACACGGCGGGUGCUAACGUCCGUCGUGAAGAGGGAAACAACCCAGACCGCCAGCUAAGGUCCCAAAGUCAUGGUUAAGUGGGAAACGAUGUGGGAAGGCACAGACAGCCAGGAUGUUGGCUUAGAAGCAGCCAUCAUUUAAAGAAAGCGUAAUAGCUCACUGGUCGAGUCGGCCUGCGCGGAAGAUGUAACGGGGCUAAACCAUGCACCGAAGCUGCGGCAGCGACACUAUGUGUUGUUGGGUAGGGGAGCGUUCUGUAAGCCUGCGAAGGUGACCUGUGAGGCAUGCUGGAGGUAUCAGAAGUGCGAAUGCUGACAUAAGUAACGAUAAAGCGGGUGAAAAGCCCGCUCGCCGGAAGACCAAGGGUUCCUGUCCAACGUUAAUCGGGGCAGGGUGAGUCGACCCCUAAGGCGAGGCCGAAAGGCGUAGUCGAUGGGAAACAGGUUAAUAUUCCUGUACUUGGUGUUACUGCGAAGGGGGGACGGAGAAGGCUAUGUUAGCCGGGCGACGGUUGUCCCGGUUUAAGCAUGUAGGCUGAUUAUCCAGGCAAAUCCGGAUAAUCAAGGCUGAGGUGUGAUGACGAGGCACUACGGUGCUGAAGUAACAAAUGCCCUGCUUCCAGGAAAAGCCUCUAAGCAUCAGGUAACAUCAAAUCGUACCCCAAACCGACACAGGUGGUCAGGUAGAGAAUACCAAGGCGCUUGAGAGAACUCGGGUGAAGGAACUAGGCAAAAUGGUGCCGUAACUUCGGGAGAAGGCACGCUGGUGUGUAGGUGAAGUCCCUGCGGAUGGAGCUGAGACCAGUCGAAGAUACCAGCUGGCUGCAACUGUUUAUUAAAAACACAGCACUGUGCAAACACGAAAGUGGACGUAUACGGUGUGACGCCUGCCCGGUGCCGGAAGGUUAAUUGAUGGGGUUAUCCGUAAGGAGAAGCUCUUGAUCGAAGCCCCGGUAAACGGCGGCCGUAACUAUAACGGUCCUAAGGUAGCGAAAUUCCUUGUCGGGUAAGUUCCGACCUGCACGAAUGGCGUAAUGAUGGCCAGGCUGUCUCCACCCGAGACUCAGUGAAAUUGAACUCGCUGUGAAGAUGCAGUGUACCCGCGGCAAGACGGAAAGACCCCGUGAACCUUUACUAUAGCUUGACACUGAACAUUGAGCCUUGAUGUGUAGGAUAGGUGGGAGGCUUUGAAGCGUGGACGCCAGUCUGCGUGGAGCCAACCUUGAAAUACCACCCUUUAAUGUUUGAUGUUCUAACGUUGGCCCCUUACCGGGGUUGCGGACAGUGUCUGGUGGGUAGUUUGACUGGGGCGGUCUCCUCCCAAAGCGUAACGGAGGAGCACGAAGGUUAGCUAAUCCUGGUCGGACAUCAGGAGGUUAGUGCAAUGGCAUAAGCUAGCUUGACUGCGAGCGUGACGGCGCGAGCAGGUGCGAAAGCAGGUCAUAGUGAUCCGGUGGUUCUGAAUGGAAGGGCCAUCGCUCAACGGAUAAAAGGUACUCCGGGGAUAACAGGCUGAUACCGCCCAAGAGUUCAUAUCGACGGCGGUGUUUGGCACCUCGAUGUCGGCUCAUCACAUCCUGGGGCUGAAGUAGGUCCCAAGGGUAUGGCUGUUCGCCAUUUAAAGUGGUACGCGAGCUGGGUUUAGAACGUCGUGAGACAGUUCGGUCCCUAUCUGCCGUGGGCGCUGGAGAAUUGAGGGGGGCUGCUCCUAGUACGAGAGGACCGGAGUGGACGCAUCACUGGUGUUCGGGUUGUCAUGCCAAUGGCACUGCCCGGUAGCUAAAUGCGGAAGAGAUAAGUGCUGAAAGCAUCUAAGCACGAAACUUGCCCCGAGAUGAGUUCUCCCUGAGACUUUAAGUCUCCUGAAGGAACGUUGAAGACGACGACGUUGAUAGGCCGGGUGUGUAAGCGCAGCGAUGCGUUGAGCUAACCGGUACUAAUGAACCGUGAGGCUUAACCUU
rnacentral:rRNA from 1 species